rnacentral:rRNA from 3 species
GGACUACACGGGUUUCUAAUCCCGUUCGCUCCCCUGGCUUUCGCGCCUCAGCGUCAGGCGGGACCCAGCGGACCGCUUUCGCCACCGGCGUUCCUUCCGAUCUCAACGCAUUUCACCGCUCCACCGGAAGUUCCGUCCGCCCCUUGCCCCCUCCAGCCCGGCGGUAUCCCGGGCCCUUUUCCGGUUAAGCCGAAAAAUUUCACCCGAGACGGACCGGGCCGCCUACGCGCCCUUUAAGCCCAGUGAUUCCGAACAACGUUCGCACGGUUCGUCUUACCGCGGCGGCUGGCAC